rnacentral:tRNA from 1 species
GGGGACAUAGUUGAGUGGUAGAACACUUGCUUAGCAUGCAAGAGGCCCUGGGUAUAACCCACAGUACCACUA